rnacentral:lncRNA from 1 species
AUUGGCUCCCAUCUGAGCUUCCCAUUGGGAUUCCUCCUACACACCACAUCCUUGUGGUCUUGACUGCAGAUUGAACACCUGCCAUUCCACUGGCACUCUGCACGGAGAUGCGCAUCACCACAAUGGAAACACACCAGCCCCAGCCCGGGCUUAGGAACAGCCCGAAACCUCUGAGUACUUCCUCUCGAAGUACCCGAGUCAGAGGAUUUGCCACGAUAGGGAUGGUGGCGCUCAUGCUGAGACUUGCCCCUCUUGUGGGUUGGACCUCCAGUGUUGCCCCUCCUCGCGUCCUGGCCACGAGGCUGAUCAACACCCGAAGACUUCUGCGACUCCAUGGUAUACUGGUGUUGCAUCUCCACACCCAGUGCUGCUCCACUGUAGUACGGAAGUCCACCAACGGAAAGGCUCCCAGGGCAUGCCUGAUGGAAGGUUUCAGGCCCUGACGGAACUGGCUCGCCUUCUCCAUCUCAUUAUAAGCCACAUGAGGGACAAAGCUGUAAAGCCCAAAUUUGUAUAAAAAUGAUGUAAAUAAAUAAAUUAAAUUAUGAUAGUAUUGUGAGAAUUUUUUUUGAAAACCUUUGGAUAAUAUUGGGUUUCCGUUGUUCUUGAAUAAAUGGGAUUAAACUAGCCAAAUAAUGAAACAAAUAAAAAUAUAAAUGUGCACCUCAUAAUGGAACUCUUGUAUUUGUAUUCAAUGUUGUGAAGCAAGUUGAGUUUAAAAAAAUUAUAAUUUGAAAAUAAAAGGGGAAUAGAAAAGAAAAGGAUGGAAGAGAUAAAUGGAGAUAAAAGAAAAAUAGAAAACUAAUAUUAGUGAAACUAGUAGAAUUUAUAGUCUCAUUAGGUUUGUGUUUGAUAUUUGGUAAUUUGAAAUUCAAACAAGAAACUUAACUUUGUUUAAAUCCUUGAAUUUGGAAAAUAGAAGAGAAAAGAAUAGAAAAGAAAAAGAAAAGAAAAGAAAAGAAAAGAAAAAGAGAACUUGAUGGGCUCGGAAAUACGUUUUGGCCCAUUAAACCUUUCCCCCGCCGUGGCCCAAACUGGUGAAUCCGUGCGCGCCUAACCUCUCUGCAGACGGGACCCACAGGUCAGCCCCCUCCCCCCAAAUUGCGCGCCUGCCACCACCGUGUGGGGCCCUUUGGUCAGACUUCGGGGGCGCGCUCUGGUCAUUCUCCGGGUCGCUGCAAUGUGGGCCCGUGUUUCUAGCUCAUUCCCUGGCCGCCAUCGUCUUCAAUCUGCGUAUGGCGGAACUCAUUCCGAGCAAGUCGGACCCGGCCGUUGGGGGUUUCUGGGAUCAUCGCGACCUUUUCGCCCACGCCUCCAACCUAUAAAAGCUCGGCCUCGCGACCUCCUUAGGCCAUAGACUCGAACCGAGCUCGUGCACCUUGUCCAGAAACAUAAAAUGGGGGAAACAUCACCGUGGGUGAGGGAAAAUCGGGCCACCAUCGUGGGACAGCCACCUUGGCGUCGUCUGGCAUCCAAAAAUCGGUCUGGGGGUGUGCGCAUCAGCUCAGGGGUGUUCUCCGGUGAGACAUUUUGUGCCGUGGGGUAUGGUUCAACAACGAUUUCUCACCGGACAUGGGAUUCCACCGCAGAACCACUCCUUACCGUGGCCGGUGCGUCUAGGGGCACGGACUGUGUCAUGGGUCCCCUGGCCUCGAUCGCCUUGUCACUCUCGUCGUGUUGCACCAUCAACGUCGAGGUUUGGGCUGCUGUGUGGGGAUCCUGUAGGUUGCGGCCAUGGCACCACCACGAUGGCGAUGGCGUCACCGCCUGGUCUCGGCGUGGGGAGGAAGACACACGAUCGCCGUUGAUCUUCUGAUGAGUGGGUUAGAUUAAAACAAGGUAACGCUUCGCCCGGGCUCGUCCACCGCCGUAGAUCUAGGAUCGUAGGGCCGCUGGCAUGAGUAAUAUAUUAACCGUAGAUCUUGGAUCGGAUGAUUGGCGUCGCGUACCGGUUCGAGAUGUGGUCUGAUCUGAUCUGGGUCACACAUCUUCGAUUCAACGGCCAGCGUGUGCCGAUACCCCUUCAGCCAUGCGCAAAUUAUUAAAUAGACCCUCUGGUUUCUAUUAUUCAACCCGCCAUCCACGCCAGUUCAAAAGUAAUUACAUAUAGGUCCUGUAUUUCGCAGUUUAGACCCUGACUUCUCUAGAUAUUGUGUCUGCAAUACAUGGGCUAUUAGGAAAUAGAGAAAUAACUUUUAAAAAUGAUUCUUAGUGCAAAAAUAAUUCCAUAAACUUGUUUAAUCCAUAUUUAACUCAUUUUAACUCCUUUUUGAUCCAUUCCAGUUGCUAUAAAUUCGUAUUAAUAUUGUUUAUCUCCUGAUAAAUUUAUUUUGCUAUGAAACUUGAGGAUAAAAUUAUGUGCUUAAUUUCUUUUGUACACCACUACUAAAUCUUUGGAAAUUCGUAACUCAAUAACCGUAACUCCGUUUUGAUCCAUUCUAGUUGCAUUAGUCUCACAAUAAUAUUUAUUAUCAUCUAUUAACUUUGUUUUGUCAUGAAAUAUAGGUUAAAAUGUUGCACUUAGUCUAUUCUAUAUUUAACCACAUGGAUCUUCGGAAAACCAUAACCCCUUAACCAUAACUCCGAAUUUAGUUGUUUCGAACCCACGAUCUCGUAGUGACGCAUAGAUUACUAUUAUGCAAUGUGUGCUUAUGUUUGAUGUGAUGUUAAUUUUGCCUAUACCAUGUUUCGUUUGUAUUGCUACGACUAGCAGUGAGGACAUGUGUCACCUAAAGAUCAUCCUGGUAUCAGGAAUCUCGAGUCCCAGGCAAUUUGUGCCCUUGAUCACUUCUUUUUACCUACUCAUGUUCAGAUUAAUCAUAAUGAUCUGCAUGGGUUAAUUUUGACGGGACCUAAUAGGUUACCCUAGUUUGACUAUCUUUAUGCCUUGUUUACCACUGAACUUUUUGGGUAGUACUUGCUAGUGCUAUAUGUGGAUUUGGGCAUUGAGAUACACAGUAUUCAUGAUUAUACUUUGUUAUCAAUUGUUAUUUACUGUUCAUGAUAAGAUCAUUAUGUUAAUUGGAACAUGGAGCGAUCACCCGGGAAAACAGUGCUACCACAAGGGUUUAAUGGGACGCCCUUGGCUGAUUAAUUAGGAAAGCUAGUGGAAGACUACCUCACCUAAAAGGGGCAAGGGCAGUAGGGGAGUGGUCAGUGUGGGGAGGUCCUUGGUUGAAUUUGCUGCGAUGGCGGUCAGGCGAGGGAUCCCUGCAUUGGAGCUUCCUAUAAACUGUAGCGGGUUUUCUGAAGCUAGUAGAACUUUGUAAAGGCCUUGUAGUGUUACCCUGCCUCGCUUCCUUGGUAGAGGUGUAUGGGGCCCGUACAACCCCAUGGCAAAGGGGUAACAUGACUUGUGGGUAAAGAUGUGCAACCUCUACAGAGUGUAAAACUGGUAUACUAGUCGUGCUCACGGUCAUGAGCAGCUCGGAGCCUCACAUGAUUAAAUUAUGGAACUAAAUUUAAUUUGUCAUAUGCAUUGCAUCACAGGUGAUGUUGUUACUUUUGUUCUACUACUUAAUUGGGUUGGUAUUUACUUAUACUUAGUAAUUGCUAAUAAAAUUUUGACCAACUUUAAAAGCAAUGUUCAGCUCUAACCAUCCUCUUUGGUAAGCCUUACACUUCACGUGAGCUCCCACCUUUGGCAAGUUCAUGCACAUUAUUCCCCACAACUUGUUGAGCGAUGAACGUAUGUGAGCUCACUCUUGCUGUCUCACACCUCCCCAUAGGUCAAGAACAGGUACCGCAGGAUGAGGCGCAUGGAGGAUGCUGCGAUGUGUUCGUGAGAGGUCUAGGUCGUCGUCUCCCAGUCAACUUUGGGUUGCUGGACCGUUGUCUCCUUAUAAUGUAGUUAUUUAUUUAUUUUGUAUAGAACUCCUAUUAUAUAGUAAAGUUGUGACAUUCGAUCCUGUGCCAUGAUUCAUCAUAUGUGUGAGACUUGGUCCCAGCACACCUGGUGAUUAUGUUCGCGCCCGGGUCUUGGUGCCCCUAAAACCCGGGUGUGACAGAAGUGGUAUCAGAGAAAUGUUGACUGUAGGACGAAACCUAGAAAGAACUAGACAACCAAUACUUACUUACCUUUUACUACUCUGAUUCUUUCUAAACUUUUCUUAAUCCUUUCUCAACUAUUUCCGCUUUACUCUAAUUACUCUUAUCUUUUCACUUCUAAAGACAAAAGUGGAUUUCACACUUUGAAAUCCUGUGCCUAAAGUGACCUUUAAGAAUAGGAUACCUACUCUUAGGAACAAAAACAAAAUUAUUUUUCUUUUAUAUAGAUAUCUAUGAACUUGAAUGCUUGUUCUUAUGAUACUUGUCUGAUUUGGAUCUUUGAUUGAGUGUGAUGAGUUGUGGAGUAAUGUCCACAAUUACAUCUGCAUAUAUAUCUAGGCAUAAAGGAUAGUAUUUAUAAAAUAACUAGACAAUCUAAAAUAUCCCCUUUAAAAUGUAUCUAGUAUUCCAUAUCUAUCUUAACAUUAUUCCCCCAACUCCGAUAAAAUACACUAACCUCAAAUCAAUAAGACCAAGACCAGAGAAGAAAAGAUCAACCCCAUCAAGGAAGGGGGGAAGUCAAACUCAAUCUUCAGAUGCAUUACCACUCGAGACAAAGUUCUUUCUCACCAUAAACUUUCUUACCCCUGGCUAUUCUUACCCUAACCUACCUAUCUUUUAACGUACAUAAAAUGACUAUAUAUAUAUAUAUAUAUAGAUACCCAUGCUCUCCUAAUCACCCACUAAUGAAAAAAAGAGAGGCUCUUGAUUUUCGAACUAAUUAGAAACUAAAAGCUAAAAUUGCAAACCACUCUUCCUAUAUCCUCCUUACUAAUCUCGAGGACGAGAUUUCUGUUAAGGGGGGUAGGAUUUGUAAAGCCCAAAUUUGUAUAAAAAAUGGUGUAAAUAAAUAAAUUAAAUUAUGAUAGUAUUGUGAGAAUUUUUUUUGAAAACCUUUGGAUAAUAUUGGGUUUCCGUUGUUCUUGAAUAUAUGGGAUUAAACUAGCCAAAUAAUGAAACAAAUAAAAAUAUAAAUGUGCACCUCAUAAUGGAACUCUUGUAUUUGUAUUCAAUGUUGUGAAGCAAGUUGAGUUUAAAAAAAUUAUAAUUUGAAAAUAAAAGGGGAAUAGAAAAGAAAAGGAUGGAAGAGAUAAAUGGAGAUAAAAGAAAAAUAGAAAACUAAUAUUAGUGAAAAUAGUAGAAUUUAUAGUCUCAUUAGGUUUGUGUUUGAUAUUUGGUAAUUUGAAAUUCAAACAAGAAACUUAACUUUGUUUAAAUCCUUGAAUUUGG